AAUGAACGCUGGCGGCAUGCCUAACACAUGCAAGUCGAGCGGACGAAUGGAGCUUGCUCUUGGAUUCAGUGGCGGACGGGCGAGUAAUGCCCAGGAAUCUACCUUGCCGAGGGGGCUGAGGUACGUAAACGGGAGCUAAUACCGCACCCGACCAGAUGGUGAAAGUGGGGGUUCUAUGGACAUCACCGUUUUUGCUGUCCCUAGGUCGCAUUAGCUAGUUGGUGGGGUAAGGGCCUACCAAGGCGACGAUCCGUAACUGAUCUGAGAGGCUGAUCAGCCACACUGGAACUGAGACACGGUCCAGACUCCUACGGGAGGCAGCAGUGGGGAAUAUUGGGCAAUGGGCGAAAGCCUGAUCCAGCAAUGCCGCGUGUGUGAUGAAGGUCUUCGGAUUGUAAAGCUCUUUAAGUAGGGAGGAAGAACAGUGAGAUAAUACCUUCCUGUCUUGACGGUACCAACAGAGUAAGCCCCGGCUAACUACGUG
rnacentral:rRNA from 1 species